AUACGGAGGGGGCUAGCGUUGUUCGGAAUUACUGGGCGUAAAGCGUACGUAGGCGGACUGAUCAGUUGGGGGUGAAAUCCCAGGGCUUAACCCUGGAACUGCCUUCAAUACUGUCAGUCUUGAGAUUGGAAGAGGUGAGUGGAAUUCCUAGUGUAGAGGUGAAAUUCAUAGAUAUUAGGAGGAACACCAGUGGCGAAGGCGGCUCACUGGCCCAUUACUGACGCUGAGGUACGAAAGCGUGGGGAGCAAACAGGAUUAGAAACCCUAGUAGUCC
rnacentral:rRNA from 1 species